rnacentral:lncRNA from 1 species
CAAAACGAUAGCGGCGAGCAGAGUCGGCAAUCGUCAAAAAUCUGGCUGGCCUACGGGUCAAGCGCGUCGGCUUUUAUACAUGACUCGCCGAAGGUUACACUGUAAU